UACGAAGGGGGCGAGCGUUGUUCGGAAUUACUGGGCGUAAAGGGCGCGCAGGCGGCCCUUGAAGUCAGGCGUGAAAGCCCCGGGCUCAACCUGGGAGGUGCGCUUGAUACUCGAGGGCUUGAGUGCGGGAGAGGAGAGUGGAAUUCCCAGUGUAGAGGUGAAAUUCGUAGAUAUUGGGAAGAACACCAAUGGCGAAGGCAGAUCUCUGGGCCGUAACUGACGCUGAGGAGCGAAAGCAUGGGGAGCGAACGAGG
rnacentral:rRNA from 1 species